AACGAACGCUGGCGGCAUGCCUAACACAUGCCAGUCGAACGAGACCUUCGGGUCUAGUGGCGCACGGGUGCGUAACGCGUGGGAACCUGCCCUUAGGUUCGGGAUAACUCCCCGAAAGGGGUGCUAAUACCGGAUAAUGUCUUCGGACCAAAGAUUUAUCGCCUUUGGAUGGGCCCGCGUUGGAUUAGCUAGUUGGUAGGGUAAAGGCCUACCAAGGCGACGAUCCAUAGCUGGUCUGAGAGGAUGAUCAGCCACACUGGGACUGAGACACGGCCCAGACUGCUACGGGAGGCAGCAGUGGGGAAUAUUGGACAAUGGGCGAAAGCCUGAGCCAGCAAGGCCGCGUGAGUGAUGAAGGCCUUAGGGUUGUAAAGCUCUUUUACCCGGGAUGAUAAUGACAGUACCGGGAGAAUAAGCUCCGGCUAACUCCGUG
rnacentral:rRNA from 1 species